GCGUUGUCCGGAUUUAUUGGGCGUAAAGAGCUCGUAGGCGGCUCAGUAAGUCAGGUGUGAAAACUCCAGGCUCAACCUGGAGACGCCACCUGAUACUGCUGUGGCUAGAGUCCGGUAGGGGAGCAUGGAAUUCCUGGUGUAGCGGUGAAAUGCGCAGAUAUCAGGAGGAACACCAGUGGCGAAGGCGGUGCUCUGGGCCGGAACUGACGCUGAGGAGCGAAAGCGU
rnacentral:rRNA from 1 species